UCUGGGUCACCUCCCACCCGUGUUUAUUUUACCUUGUUGCUUCGGCGGGCCCGCCUUAACUGGCCGCCGGGGGGCUUACGCCCCCGGGCCCGCGCCCGCCGAAGACACCCUCGAACUCUGUCUGAAGAUUGUAGUCUGAGUGAAAAUAUAAAUUAUUUAAAACUUUCAACAACGGAUCUCUUGGUUCCGGCAUCGAUGAAGAACGCAGCGAAAUGCGAUACGUAAUGUGAAUUGCAAAUUCAGUGAAUCAUCGAGUCUUUGAACGCACAUUGCGCCCCCUGGUAUUCCGGGGGGCAUGCCUGUCCGAGCGUCAUUUCUGCCCUCAAGCACGGCUUGUGUGUUGGGCCCCGUCCUCCGAUCCCGGGGGACGGGCCCGAAAGGCAGCGGCGGCACCGCGUCCGGUCCUCGAGCGUAUGGGGCUUUGUCACCCGCUCUGUAGGCCCGGCCGGCGCUUGCCGAUCAACCCAAAUUUUUAUCCAGGUUGACCUCGGAUCAGGUAGGGAUACCCGCUGAACUUAAGCAUAUCAA
rnacentral:rRNA from 1 species